ACAUUACAACAUUACAUUAUUGCACUGUCCCCUGCAUCUUGUGGUCAAUUUAACUUUUACUUGUUUUAUAAGAAAGACUCAUUUAGCAACUCAAUAACUAAUCUUCGUGGCUGAUCAUAACAGCCAAUUUCUUCUCAAGUCACUCCCUAAUUUGUGUAUAUCUAAUAUACUUGGAACAAGAGAUGAGCUUGGUAGUUUUUGUUGGUUUAUAAGGACAAGGAAAUAAUAAUAGUAUGCUUUUUCUUAGAGAAAUAAUAAUUUGGAUUUUCAUAACAUGUUAGUAUAAAUUACAAAAAGAAAAGAAGAUUACAUUAUGAGACAAAUGUACUAAGAUUAUGGCACAUGGAACAUAUAUAUAUCUAUGCUGGUGGGAACAUCCUAUCCUAGUCCCUUGUGCAUUUAUGCUAAUGCUAGCAGUAAUGUAAGAGUUUUUCGAGGGAAAUUAAACUCUUGGGUAAACUUGAGAUUUGAGUGCAAUAAAUAAAAACAAAUAUUUUAUCAAUUUUUUAGGCAAAGAUAGAAAAGAAAGUUUGCAUGCUGUCGAGGAAUUUAACUGACCAAAAGAUAGAAUUUUUAGUGAAAUUUCUAGCUGUCAAGGGAGCUGCUGAAGCAUGCAGUUUGCAUGCAUGCUGUCUAAUUUCUUACCAAUUUAGGUGGUCUGAUCGAUGGUUGUUUAUUGUUGUCCAAAUAAAAAUUAAAGAUCAACCAAAUGAUGAGGGAAUUAAAAUGGUCUGAACAAUGUGAAACUAAAUUGUUAAAUAUUAACUAAUGAUGUCCAAAUGGAUAUGAUUUAUGAUGUUAGUAAGCUAAAAAUUUAGGUGUUAAAUGCUGCAAUUUAUGGUGUUUGAAAGUUGUGAUUUAUGAUAUUCGAAUGAUGUAUUUUAAGUUGUUCGAAUGUGUUAAAGAGUUGAUUUAAUUUAAUGCCUAAUGGUUGUUUACUGUUGUUCAAAGCAUGAUGAAAUAAACAUGUUAGGCGUAGUUUAAUAUAUGCCUUGUUGAGCCAUAAGGUUGUCCAAAACAAGACAAAAUUUAGUUGUCUUUAAGAUGUUCGAAUGUGGUUGUUCGAAUGGUUCUCCAAAUUUUCCAAAUGUGUCUUUAAGGUGCUCGAAAAUGUCAUAUUAAUGUUGUCCAUGUAUGAUUUAAUGUUUUAUCAUUUGGAGCUUUAAUAUUUUAACACAAGUGAUGUUAAUUUCUUGUCUUGAUAACAUCUUUAUUAUUUACUGAUGCAGGUGGACAGACAAGUAUCAGGUUAAGUACAUAUUUUAUUCAUCCAAGAAAGGCAAAAUGUUGGUACAAAUUACACUAAUGUCCUACUAGACAGCUACAAACAACGGAACAUAGUUCACUUGAAGCUUGCCAUGUAAGACCAUGUCACACAUAAAAUGCAAAAUGAGCUCAACAUGUUUGACACGUGCAUGUAAGACCGGGUUUGCAGCCAAGGCUACAGAGCUGGAAUUAUCACACCACACCACUGGAGCCUGUUGUAAAAAGAUUCCUAUCUCACUGAGAAGAGACUGAAACUAAAUUAUCUCUAUAGUAGUAUUUGCAAGGCUUUUGUAUUCAGCCUCAGAUGUGGACCUAGACACAACCCCUUAUUUCGUAGACGACCAUCCAAUCAAGUUGUCACCAAGAUAGAUGCAAAAACCAGAUGUUGACUUGUGGUCUUCAAGUGAGCUUGCCCAAUCCGCAUUAGGGAACCCUGUCAGACGGACUGCCGAGGGUUGAAAAACUAGACCAUGAUCUAACGUACCUUAAGAUUCUUUUUACUACAGUCCAAUGCACAUCAUAUGGCAAGUGCAUAUACUGUGAGACUUUAUUCACUGCAAAUGUAAUGUUAGGUUGAGUUAAACAGAUGUAUUGAAGGCCCCCUACAAUCUGCCUAUAUUUGGUCC